GGCUCCGUAGCUCAGCUUGGUAGAGCACCAGACUCUUAAUCUGGGUGUCGUGGGUUCAAAUCCCAUCGGGGCCA
rnacentral:tRNA from 1 species